rnacentral:rRNA from 1 species
AUUGAACGCUGGCGGCAUGCCUUACACAUGCAAGUCGAACGGCAGCACGGGUGCUUGCACCUGGUGGCGAGUGGCGAACGGGUGAGUAAUACAUCGGAACAUGUCCUGUAGUGGGGGAUAGCCCGGCGAAAGCCGGAUUAAUACCGCAUACGAUCUACGGAUGAAAGCGGGGGACCUUCGGGCCUCGCGCUAUAGGGUUGGCCGAUGGCUGAUUAGCUAGUUGGUGGGGUAAAGGCCUACCAAGGCGACGAUCAGUAGCUGGUCUGAGAGGACGACCAGCCACACUGGGUCUGAGACACGGCCCAGACUCCUACGGGAGGCAGCAGUGGGGAAUUUUGGACAAUGGGCGAAAGCCUGAUCCAGCAAUGCCGCGUGUGUGAAGAAGGCCUUCGGGUUGUAAAGCACUUUUGUCCGGAAAGAAAUCCUUGGCCCUAAUACGGUCGGGGGAUGACGGUACCGGAAGAAUAAGCACCGGCUAACUACGUG